AGAGUUGAUUAUGGCUCAGGACGAACGCUGGCGGCAUGCCUAACACAUGCAAGUCGAACGGAAGUAGAAAUACUUAGUGGCGAACGGGUGAGUAACACGUGAGCAACCUGCCUUAUACACAGGGAUAACAGUUGGAAACGACUGCUAAUACCGGAUAAGACCACACUAUGGCAUCAUAGAGGGGUCGAAGCGAAUAAGCGGUAUAAGAUGGGCUCGCGUCCAAUUAGCUAGUUGGUGAGGUAACGGCCCACCAAGGCGACGAUUGGUAGCCGACUUGAGAGAGUGAUCGGCCACACUGGAACUGAGACACGGUCCAGACUCCUACGGGAGGCAGCAGUGGGGAAUAUUGGGCAAUGGAGGAAACUCUUACCCAAGCAAUGCCGCGCGAGUGAUGAAGGUCUUUGGAUUGUAAAGCUCUUUGAUUGGGGACGAAUAAAUGACGGUACCCAAAGAACAAGCCCCGGCUAACUAUGUGCCAGCAGCGGC
rnacentral:rRNA from 1 species